rnacentral:lncRNA from 1 species
CCGCACCUCGCACUCCGAGCCCGCCCGGGCGGCGCCGGCUUCUCAGGGGGUCGGGCGGGGACCGUGGCCACCAGGCCUGUUCCGAAGCCCCGCCUCGGUCCUCUGAGGAUCUCGCGGGCUGUGGGCGGAAGCCAGCCGGGCAGAUGGGCGCGCCCCUCUUGUGCAGGCGGGGCCUUCCCACGCCUCGCAGCCGCCUCCGCCGUUUUGGAGCGGGAACCCAGGCGAGCCCGCCCACCCCUCUGAUGGGUUCGACCGAGCUUGAGCCAACGCGGCGGCGCGGGCCCUUGCGGGUGGGGAGGACCCGCCUGGGUCUCACACCUGCCGGCCGGGCGGCCCCGCGUCCUGGCGCCCCGGCAGCAGGCGCGGCGGGACCGGGCGCGAUGCCUGGUUUCUCCGGAGCCGCUACAAAAGGAAACUUUAAAACUUAGAUGUCCAGCGGCGCCAGACCUCCCCGAGCCUGGGCAGAGCCGGCUCCCCUCUGCUCCACCCCAGCCGGGCCGGAGGGGGCAGCCCCGGGCAGCCGCAGGAGGACGCGGAGCGGGCCCCAGAGUGCCCACGGCCCACUUUUCCCCCGACAGCCUCCGUCUCGGGAGAGGCCCACACGCCCUGCCCGCCACGGGGACAGCGGAGGCCCGGGGCGCCCGCGUCCUCGGAGCUCGCUGCCGGGAAGGCUUUUGCCCUCUGCGGGGUAAGCGGCCUCCUUUGACUGGGUGGCCGUGCGCCCCAGGAGCCGGCUGCACACCCGGGCUCGCUGCUCUUUGCAGCUCGCCUCGGGACACUGCCAAGGUCCGUGACCGUGACCGGAAAGAGGCCCGCAAGGAGUCCGCAGGCAGAGCCCUGAGAGGCCCCGACGUGGAGACCGCCCGCGUGGACGUGGACGACGAGCGGCGGCUGCCGCGGGGGAAUCGGCGGCCUGGGACAGUCUCUGGCCCACGGAACACACGCAGCUUGUACAUACUCCUCUUUGGGAGCAGAAGGAAGGACAGUGAGACAAGACACCUCCUUGGACAGGCGUGGACUGUGCCAGGCGCGGGGAAGGACUGGUGGCCAUGGCUCUGCACUCCUCAGAGAGGGACAGAGGCCCCAGUGGCUCUGAGCCCCUCUGUCCUCGGGUGCGGCUCUCUCCGCAGCAGCUCUGUCCGUCCCACUGAGCCCAGGCUGCCCACAGGGGCGGGGACACCAGGUCCUGGGGCAGCCAGCAGCCUGAUGGGGCUCAGCAGCCGAGGGAGUCCCAAGCACCUGGGCGGGGCCAACUGCAGGUCAGUCCUGCUGAGAAAGAGAAGUAGGCCCAGCCCAGCCUUGCACAUGCCUGACCCCGUUGACAGCAGGUUGUAGAAAACGCAAGCUUUCCAUGCCAGGAGGCAGCCCCGAGGUUGGUUGCCUGGUGAGGGGCCAAGAAAGGCAGGCAUGAGGGGAUGUUUCUGGGAUGUCACACACUGGCCGUCACUGUAGUGCUGCGCCUCAGGCGUGGAAACGCUGUGUUCCAGAACACGGGAAAGUUUAAACGCGUCCAGUGCAACGUGGGCCUCACCUCAGUGAGACGGUCGGGCCACAGACGUGCACCAAACCCCAGAGCGGUGCUGAGACCCCAACCCCAGGCCCAUGGGGGAGGCGAGGUCCCGAGAAGCCCCUUUCCGCCUCCCGGGCCUCGCUUUCUGUCUGAGGCGUGGGCACACAACGUCCCCAGGGAGCCUUCUCCCAUCAGCCUCGCCCUGGGGCCCGCUGUCUUCAAACACACACCCGACCCUCAGAAGGCACCCUAAGCAAGCAGCAGCCUUUCGGGGAGCGCACAGGCCACUGUACCGUCCGCUCUCCAGCCUCAGGUUUGGUGGCUCCCUUCCGGCUCCAGUGGAACCUGCCCUUGCAGAGCCCUGAACACACAGCAUGGCUUCAGACAGCCUCACCUUGUACCUGCUACCGGCUCUCCUUGGACUGUCACUCUACCCACCCCUACUCCACGAUUGCGUGAUAAACCCCUAUUCAGCCUUCAGAGCCCGCUUUACAGAGUCCCACUGUGUAGUCCAGGCUGGCCACAGACUAGAGGCGCUCCUCCUGCUUCUCUGAGGCUUCGAUCACAGACCCUGGGGAGAGGUGUGACAUCAACACCAGACAGAAGGCUGGGCUUGAACUCACGAUGUAGCCCAGGGUGGCCUGGAAUUUGCAGUGUCCUCCUGCCUCAGCCUCCAGAGUGCUGGGCUUACAGUCGUGCGCCCCCACGUCCCGCAACUAAGGGAGGUGGAAAGGGUUACUGCCUGCCUGGAAAGGCAGAUUUCACACCUGCUGUCUCGACACAGGGCGGACAGGUGCAUCUGGAGGGGGGAACCUCACACAUCCCUCAGACAAGGGCCUGUCACCCCGCUUCUCCCGAGAGUGACGCUGCUGGGAAAUGUGCAGUCAUAGCCCAGGGAGUCUGGGAGUGAUGGCCACAGUUGCUGUCAUACUGGGAUCUGCACUGCCCAGCUCAGGAGACACAGGUGCCCGGCAGGGAGAGGUUGGAUGCUGGCACUGCACCUCCUGCUGAGGGGAGAACCCCCAAACCCCAGCCCGCCAUGGCCAGACAGCCCAGAUGAGCGGCUAGCGCAGUCCUCAGACAGCCAACUCUGGGUCUGUAGUCAUGGACACGAACCGAGUCAUGAACUACAUCCAAGAGAGACCAUUUCUCGGUGCUGGCACCCUCCUAGGGCUCAGGGGUCUGCACCGCACGCUUCCACACCUGCCUGCGUCUGCUUUUGGAUCCGGCCAAGCUUGGCGGAUUUCACCAGUGACAACCGUGCCCCACACCCUAGUUUUUCCUCACAGACAGUACAGGGCCCACAGGGCUGGGAGACUCAGCCCUGAGUGAAAUAGGUCACACAUGAGAGGGAGGGACGUCGGCAGCACUCACACCCGAGUCCCUUGGAGCUGCGAUGCCCUUCCACCCUUCACUCUGCACACAUCACUUCCGCUUGUCCAGUCAGACCCUGAUGGGCCCUGCCUCCCACCAGCAGGAAGCAGCCUCUGGCUUGCAUGGUGCCAGAGGGUGCCAUCUGCUGUCACUCACAAAACACUGCAAAACCACCAAGGAGGUCAGUUAACGAGUCCAGACCUCCAGCUAAGGAAUGUCGAGUUUCUCUCAAGUCGGUCAUUCCAACACCAGCUUUAUUUUUAAACAACAAAUUUGAGCCCGAUACUGUGUCUGCGAGCCUGCGUCCGAUCUGUUGCAGUCACUCGGGAACUGAGGUCACUGCGUCCGAUCUGUCGCGUCCUUCCCGAGUCUCUGCCUGGACACUGCUUUCCCUGGGCGGCCCAGCCUGGCCCCAGGUCUUGAUGACACGCUCCCCCUGCACGGCACCAUGGAUUGGUUUCUCUUUGUCCAAGUAUAACUUUUAAAGAGCUAAAAACAUGACCCAUAAUAAAAUGGAACAAACACAGGUAAAAUGAUUAUUUUUUACCAUUUCAUCAGUCAAAAAGGAAACCAGCAAAAUGGCAAAACCAGUCUAAGUGGGACUGAGGAGUAGGGGUUUAUAUAUCUCACCAAGAAAUGCAGUUGUUCAAAUCUGCAGAUAAGAUUACUGGAGAAAGAACUGCUACUGUCUCACAGGGUAAUGGACACUAAGCUUCGAGGGCAUCUUUCCAUGGAACACAAAUAGCCUGUGUUGGCACUGAAUAAGAAUCACUUGCACUGCGGUCAGUUUUCCAUAAGUCACACUGGCUUUUACAUGGCUGUAAAAUAUAUGAACCAAGAGUCAACAGCAAGUCCUAUGGAGGGCCGCAGACCAAGAGGCCAGUAAAUCUUUGAGUGGAGCUGCCACUGCACCGGACCACCACUAAAGUGCAUCCCACAAAACUUUCACCUAUUUCCAGGUGAUUGGGCAGUGUGUGGACACUUAUCAAGCUUCUGGAAAUUUGUUCUUAACCUGUUACAUUCUUUAUUAUUAGUUAAUAAUAGUAACAAUUAGCAUGUGUUCAGUACUAACCGUGACCCUCCCAGACUUGGUUAGGCACUUACAUUGCUUCAUGUACUUUAAUACUAACAGGAAGAUUUAGUACUAGCCCAUUUUACAGAUUGAAACUGAAGUUUAGCUGAAUUAUCCUUCCUCAAAUCACAUGACUCAUGAGAGGCAAAGUAGUGAGAGUUCAGAGCUGAAGGGCAGUCCCGAGGUGGAGGAAGAGGUCGCUGCUGUGUGGCUUUGAAGGUGUAGCCUAUCCUAGCCCCUUCCUCUCUCUCUCUCUGGCUGUCUUGCUAUUGCUGUCUGCUUCCUGACUACCAUGAGGUGAGCAGUUUUCCUCUUCCUUGCCCUUCCGCCAUGAUGUUUCUACCGUGGAACCAGCUGACCAUGGACUGAAACCUUUGAAACCAUGAGCCCAAACACAUCUUCUCUCCUUUAAGUUGUGUAUGUCAGGUGCUUUGUCCCAGCAACAGCAAGGUGACUAACACCUUAGUGGGUAACCCUGGAUGGAGGGAGAAGGAAGAAGCCCCCACUCUGAUCCCUCCUUCUCUCUGCUCCCCCCUUGACAAAGCGUCUCUGGAAGCAGCUGGUCUCCUCUGUGGUUCUCCCUACUGCUCACUAACUGGCCCUUUUUCUGUGGCCUCAUUUGCUCCGGGAUGAUCCUGACUCCAAACUCCACCUUUGUGCCUUUCUUCCUUCAGCUCUGGGGAUGGUGGCAGCUUCCCACUGAUUCUGUUACCUCAGCUCUUUCACCACCCCGUGAUCGCACUUGUAGCUUGUCUGAUGUGUGGAUCAGCUGCCCUCCCUAUUAAACUCCCUCUCUUCAGUGAUCUGGAACGGCCUCUUAUUUUCCUGAAUAGAUUCUGACUUACUGACCUAAGGGACAGAGAACAACAAUAUUCACACCAACCCGGAUGGUGUGGUGGGCUCGCUUAUCAGCCAAGAAAAUGGCUCCUGUACCAUUGUCAACCGUCGGGUUUCAAGUUAUUCCUUAGCAUGGUUUUAAAGGAUCAUAUGUCAGAGACCUCCAAGUUGCUCAGGACCUAUCGAUACUAUAAAUGUUACAUCAAUAAAGUACCAAGCAUGUCGUAGACAGUAGCUAUAGUUUGUUUUUCCGUACAUUGUGCCUGGCAUUUUGAUCAACCCCUUACAUGCAUGAUCUCUUUUAAUUCUCCUACAAACUGUGGGCUAUUUCUUCUAGUCAAGUUCUUAGAGGUGAAUAAUGGACACCUUUUCUGAAUAGACAGGAAGGAUCUUGGAGCUCAAGAAGUUAGCUAAUGAGUGAACCUAACCUGUUUUAGGCUGAAGAACCACAGGGAAAGAACUAAAGGGAGCCAGGCAGAGCUGAGGCCAUGUCACAUAACUGAUCUGCUGAGGGUGUGGUGGCUGUGGCCAUCAGCCCUGGACCCCAGCGCUGCAGGCCCUGCGAAUCAUCCCUACCUUCCUGUGGGGUUCGGCACCAAACAGAACCUGCCUGGGGCCUGUGCCCAUGCCCAGAUGCCAGGGUCUGGUGAGAAAGGACUUAUCAGCCAAGGCAAUAAACUGUUGGUGGAGUUGCCACCCCAGCCCCACAUUGGUUUCCACAGUGGAGAUCGUGUGAUCACGCUUGGGCCACUGGACCACUGCUCCAGCUUGGGUGUGGCUUAAGCGUGUCCCCAGGGUUUCGUGUAUGGAAGUUUAAUUCCUAUUCUGAGCUACCAAGAGGGUAGAGCCAUAGUCCAACUUCGGUGGGGCCUUUGGGAGGUGAUCAGGAUUAAAGCCAUUAGGGUGGAGUUCCUAAGAGUAAAUCUUCUCUUAUAAGAAGAGAGAGAGACCGUCUGGGAAGCACACUUCCUGUCUCUUGCUAUGCAAUGGCAACAUGAAGCCCAUUAUC